rnacentral:rRNA from 1 species
GAAAGUCGUAACAAGGUUUCCGUAGGUGAACCUGCGGAAGGAUCAUUAAAGAGAGGGGCUUCGCGCUCCAGGGGACCCCGGUCCCCGCCUCUCCACCCCGUGAUUACCUUACCUCUUGUUGCCUUGGCGGGGGAUUACCCCGCCAGCAGCCCACCGAAACUCGUUUGAUCCAUGUCCGUCUGAACCGAAUUCAUAAUGAAUCAAAACUUUCAACAACGGAUCUCUUGGUUCUGGCAUCGAUGAAGAACGCAGCGAAAUGCGAUAAGUAAUGUGAAUUGCAGAAUUCAGUGAAUCAUCGAAUCUUUGAACGCACAUUGCGCCCCUCGGUAUUCCGGGGGGCAUGCCUGUUCGAGCGUCAUUACAUCACUCAAGCGUAGCUUGGUAUUGGGUCCUUCGCCCGGGGUUUCCCCGCGGCGUGCCCGAAAAGCAUUGGCGGUCCGGUGUGACUUGAAGCGUAGUAAAUUUUCUCCCGCUUUGCAAGCCUCGCGCCGUGGCCGGCCAGACAACCCCAUUUAUACCUCACGAUUGACCUCGGAUCAGGUAGGGAUACCCGCUGAACUUAA